rnacentral:rRNA from 1 species
AUUGAACGCUGGCGGCAGGCCUAACACAUGCAAGUCGAGCGAGCGGCGGACGGGUGAGUAAUGUAUGGGGACUGCCCGGUAGAGGUGGAUAACUACUGGCAACGGUAGCUAAUACCGCAUACUAUCGGAUAACCCAUAUGGGAUGAGCUAGUAGGUGAGGUAAUGGCGCACCUAGGCGACGAUCCCCAGCUGGGCUGAGAGGAUGAUCAGCCACACUGGGACUUCGACACGGCCCAGACUCCUCCGGUGGCAGCAGUGGGGAAUAUCGCACAAUGGUCGCAAGCCGCAUGCAGCCAUGCCGCGUGGAUGAAGAAGGCCCUAGGGUGGUAAAGUUCUUUCAGUCGGGAGGCGUUACCGACAGAAGAAGCAUCGGCUAACUCCGUGCCAGCAGCCGCGGUAAUAC